CAAGAAAACGUAAUUUAAAUGUCACCGAAAACAAACGAAAAAAACCCAAAUAAAUUAUUUAUUUAAAAAGUCAUGUUGUACUUGUUGGUAUUAACAAAUUUUACAGGAAAACAUACAAGAAAACAACAAACAACAGUAGAAAAACGCGCGAACCAAACCCAAAAUGUGGAUACUUUUUAUUCUCGGCAUAAUUUUCAUCUCAUUGGUGACUACAUUAUCAUGGCUGUGUGUGUGUUUGGACAAAUGACCAAAAAAACAAAAAAAAACAAGAUGCAAUUACCAUAAUACCAGCAAUUGGGCAAUUGUAGUUGGUAUUUAAAUAUUAUUCGCGAGAAUUUAAAUAUUUUUGUGGUGUGCCGUUAGUGUGUUUGCCUCUCUGGCUCGCCUCGCAUUGCAGAGAAAUGUCUGUAUAUAAUUGUUUGUUGCAUUUUGAAGUGCUGACAAUGUGCCUUGUAAAUACAGCCGCUGGCAAUCGACUUGUUGUAGUUGAAAUUGUUGAUUUUCAAUGCUGUGUUUGCGGCAAUAGUUCAGCAAUGCGCUGAUUUGUCAAUAUUCAAAAAAAAAAGCUCCUUAAAAAAUGACAAAAAACAUACAAAAACAUCAAAAACCAACAACGGACAACUGGUAAUUGUGCGAUGAUUGCUGACAAAUGCGGCCAAUAAGUCGCUUAAAGGCAGAGAAUCAAAACUACAACGAUCUUUAACCGCAAACCAUGCAACAGCAACAAUCAAAGAAGUAUGUAUUAGCAUUGAAUUUCAUAAGAUUUUCAUAUAUGUUAAGGAGCUUGUGUCUCUUGCGAAAAUCAACUCGCUAACAAUCCAACAAAAACAACAAAGGCUAUUUAAUCAUUUUCCACGUCCGAUUUGGCUUUUGGUUCGCACAAAAGCUCUGCUAAGCGCAGCUCAGCCUUAAUCAGAUGUAAAUGCCGUUGCAAUAGCAAUAGCAACAGCAACAUCAGCAAGUAUAACAAAACUAACAACAAGCAUCGUCAACAGCCACCCAUGGCACCUGCAAUGAACAAGAUUAUCUGUAAAUUUACUGAAGUUUUGCUAUUAUAGUGCGGUUAUGAAACGUAAAGUGGACUGAAAUUACGUCAAACGUCCAAGAUGCCGAAAUAUUGAACUUCCAAGUUAAAUGCAGUGUUAUGCCAACAAUAGCAACUACAACUACAAGUCAAAUUGCAGCUGAGUAAACAACAGCGAAACGUGCAUAAAUCAAAAACAAUAUCAAUACAACAACAACAGCAACAAUUAGAAAAGUGCAGCGAACAAGCGUGGGCAUUAAUGGAAAAUCUGACACCCCGGAACUGAGAAGAAAUUCAAGAGAACCCAAACCAAUUUAACACGCAUCGCUGUAGAAAUCACACGCGCCAAAGAGGAAGGGGAAACUUCAAGAAACCAAAAUAUAAAUAAUAAUAAACAACAAACAAGCAAAACUCUCUUUAAACAACACCGAAUUUAACGCUAAAAAGCGAUAAAAUAUAGAUUAAAAACUCCGAACAACAAAACCGUUAAAAUUUGUUUGUGCUCCGCGGCACGCGACGUGAUUUUUAUGAUGUUGCACAUAGUACCUCAAGGAAACAAACUGCAUAGUUGAAAAUAUAAAUAGAAAACGGAAAAAAAAAGUAUAAAAAAAGUAUAAAAAUAUAAAUCGAAAGACAAACAAACACACACACACACUCGUUAACUAGCAGCGCUGAAAACUAUUUUCAGCUGAACUUGAAAUGCCUACAGAAUGUGAGCGUACGAUCGCCAACACCACACAGAACGUGCAACAGCCACAACGACAGCAACAGCAACAGCAGCAGCAACAGCAGCAACAACAGGCAUACGAACAAUUGCAAGCAGAUCACUUGCGUGUAGAAGGAGAAGAAGAAGAAGAAGGAGGAGAAGAAACAGCGGCAACAGCGCUAGCAGCACAGCUUGAGUUCUAUGACGACAUGGAGGGCAAAGAAUUAAAUGGCGGCAAAAUGUCGACGUCACAGGCAGCAACAACAGCAACGUCAACGACAAAUGGCCACAAUGGCAGCAAUCAGACGACAAAUGGAGUUGGCAAGAAAACGUCCAUUAUAUCGCCAGAUCCCACACCAUAUGUGACCAAAGCGCGUGUCACUCGUCCCACACCGCCGCCACCGUCCUACAAUCCAAUGCAAUUUGUACAGAUCAAACCAUGUAAUCUCUAUCAAACCGCACAGGAGCAGCUCAAAAAAGCUGAGGAAGUGAAAAAAAUUAAGGAGAUCAAGAAGGAGGAGCCCGAAGAUUGGCAAAAUAACUUGGACAAUUGGAAAUCGUCACGUAGAAAACGUGUCGAACAUAUCAUCGAUCGAGUUGUUGAAGUGAAGAAACUCGAAUUAGAAGAACACGACCGGACACGAAGAAAAUCGAAAACAUUCUCCGAAAUGAUUGAGGAAAGAGGAGAACGUGGUGUACGUGGUGGACGCGCAAAAUUGGCCUCAUUAGCCGUUUACAAUGAAGACGAAUCGAAUGAUCUGAGUGAUCUUGGCAUUGGCACAAGCAGCGCCAGCGGCAAGAGCAGUCAAUCGGAGGAUUACGACAAUAACAGUGUACUGAGCGACAACGCCGAACUGGACAAGGCCAUAUUCGAAAAUAACCAAAAACCCAGCGGCAUCCCUGCUCGCGAAUACAUCUCAUCGCCCGGCUACGAUACCUCAUCCAGCACAGCGCCCGGCAGCUCUCCCGAUCCAUGCGAAUAUACCUAUGAAGGCGCCAUACAAGAUUAUAAGCAACGCGUCUCACGCGCCAGCGGCGGCAGCGCUCUGACAAAUUUCAAACUCAAUAAUGUCAACACAAAUGCGGCGCUAACGGGCAAAACCGUCAACUCUCCAAAGGAGACCACACCCGACAGCACCAGCAGCUGCACAGUGACCAAUGAUGUCUAUCCCACACGUCGUGGCAGUAAAAUAGAAGAUCGUCUUAUCGGUUUCGAAGUUACCUCGCCCAGCGAUAGUAGUCAAGAGGGUUUGGAGAAGAAAGUGGAUGUACCAAAAAUAGAUAUUUCGAAACGUAAGGAGAUAUUCGAAAAUCAAAAUGCCAAUACAGAACCAAAGUCACUGGUGAGCGGCAAUAAUGGCGCUGGCAGCGUAGCUGUGCCGCGGGUAACGCUGCGUGACCGCUUCAAAUUGGAUGAGAGUGCAACCGGCAAUGGUGAAAUUCAAGAUUCCACUUUGAAGCGUGAAGUUAAACGCCUUUCCGGCGACAUAACCAGCGUAAGGUCGCGUAUGCAAAGCUUGGAGCAACAACAAAACUUAGUCAAUUCAACAAAUGGCGGUGGUGUCGGCAAAACGCCACACGCAAAAUUAGUCGAUAUACCAGUGCCACCGUUGAAGGAUCGCCUGUCUAGUUUACAAAACGCCGUUACCAAAGAGGAGGUGAAAAAACCGCCCGUAGCGCUUGUUGAUGCACGCCAGCUAGAGAUUAUGAAAAAUGAAGAAGAAGAGCGGCGCUUGAAGUUGCGGGAGAAUGAGAAGAAGGUAGAGCAGGUUGAAAUUCAUGAGAAAAAGAAACAGGCCACUGUGCACAUAGCGGAAACCGCAUUGCCACCACAGGAGCUGGUGGUUAAAAUAGACGCACCCGAAGAGGAGAUCGAUCGUGACGAUAGCGGCAUACACACCGCCGAUGGUGAGAUCGACUCCAGUGAAAUCUCUGAACAGGAGCAGCAACUGAAUGCGGCUAUUGCAGCGCUGGCUCUGGAAGAGCAACAGCUAUCCGAAGCAGCCAAUGCCGUCAACCAAAUAGAGGCCGAGUUUGCAGAACUCUCCACCAGCGCAGUUAACGCCAUCGCCAACGGCCUGACAGCAGCGUCGACGACAAAAACAACUAACGAACAGCCAUGCGAAAUGGAAUUUAGUCAGAUCAACGAAGCUCUUGAAUUGGCGCUGGAGGCAAUUGACAGAGAGACAAAAUUCACCGCAAACGAUACAACAACAAUAAUAAAAGCAACGACCAAAAAAUUGAAGAAAACAACAACAACAACAACAGCACCCGCUGCGUUCGCAAUGGCAACAAAUAUAACAAGCAACAAUAGUAAUAAUAACAACAACAACAACAAUAAUAGUAAUAAUAACAACAAUAGCAAUGCUCAAUUUGAUUGUUUGACCGAGCCGAAAGAUUCCUCGAACAAAACCGACGAAGAGAAGGAACUCAAGACAAAAAAACAACAAUUCGAUGCAAUUGCUAAUGAGCAUAUAAGCAACAGCAACAGCGAUUUCAAUUACAACUACAGCGAAAAUAGAGGAGAAUACAAUAAUGAAUUGAACAAUAAAAGCAAAAACAAUAACAAUUAUCACAAAGACAAUGAAUUUGAUAAUAAUACUAUGAUUAUGAUGCAACAAGCGCAUGAGACGCAGAAGAGAGCAAAACAGGAGGAGGCUCAGGAGGCCGAGGAGGCUGAAGUGCUCAUCUCGCAGGAACCAAUUUACGAGAAUAUCUCGGCAGCGUCUACGCGUCAAGUAGAUGCUGAGGCAGGACGAAUCAUCAAAACUCCAGCGAGGACUUUGAAUGGCAGCAACAGCAACAACAACAACAACAAUAUUAAUAAUAAUAAUUAUGAUAAUUUUCAAAACAAUUCUCAUAAUCAAAUCAAUCAAUCAAAUAUAAGCAAAAACAACAACAGUAAUAAUAAUUUUGAUACUGAUAUCGCUUACGCCAAUAAUUUGCUAAGUAAUUUGACUAACAGUAAUGAUAUUAACAAGACCAACAACAACAACAACAACAGCAACAUCAACAGCAGCAAUAGUAGUAGCUAUACCGCUAGCAUUAACAACAACAACAGCUACAACAACAAAUACAAUAGCAAUGUUGAUAAUAAUUGUAUUGAAUUAACAAAUACUUUGGCUAAUGCUACAACAAUAACAAAACCAACAACUACAACAGCACCCGUCAGCGAUAUAAUAGAAACAACAUCACCAACAACAACAACGACUAGUUUCAUAGAAGGCAAAACAAUGCCGACCACAUCACUAAAGACCAGUGAGUUAGCAACAACAACUCUAACAACAAGACAAACAACACAAAUUGAGACGCCAACAAUAACACAAUCAGCUGAAAUUAACCCAAAUUCUGAACAAUACAACACAUCAAACAAACCCUCAGCAGCGCAUAACAGUACACCGAACCCGCUAGUGGAACACGAACCCUACUAUCAAGUGCCCAAGUCCAGCGAACCGUACUACGAUGCACCCAAGCACCUGCGCCCCGUGCCACUUUACGAGAAUAUAGAGGUGUUCUACACGGGCUUAGAGAACUCCACGUUAGCUGGCGGCGCAGGCGCCACACUCGGUGGCGGCGGCUUCAAGCUGGAGCCGCCAAAAGAAAAGCCACCCCCACCACCUAUCGAGAGCCCACCACCGUUCGAUGAUAUCGAUGGCAUUGACAACAACACAGACACUUGGUCUUCGGAUAAUACAUACGAGACGAUUUCAUCGCAUCUGCCACAACUGAACGGACUCGCUGCAGAUCAUCCCUCGCCGCCGAUCAAACGAAUGAAUUCCACAAAACGCAUUAAGAAGGAAUUGCGCAAUAAACGGUCAAGUUUUCUGGGUAUUGACACAACCAAUCUGGAUGACGAGGAAAGCUUUUUGGAAUUAACUGUCGCACCACCGCCAGAUAUGGCGCAACUAUUACAGGAGGAGCGCCGUUUGGAGAAGCAAUUGUACCUGAAGGCGGGUCUGUGCGAUAGCUCAGAUACAGGUGAGAGUCGUGACUCAGGCGUCUCGGAGAAUCAUUCGCGGCAAAGCAGCGAACACUACACAAACUCAUCGGAGGAAAACGAUCGCCAUAUCGAUUCACCGCCGCACAGCCUCAAAUCCAAUGAGCUCAUCUUUCAAAAUGAGGCUCUAUUGACUGCAGCACAGACACCGCUAUUACAAACGGUGAAGGGUAACUCCGCCGAAUCGUGGACUGAAUCGGCCACCGUCGCAGCUGCGGCUACAAAGUCACUCACGGAGGCCACCGCCACCGCCAAUGCCAAAAUGCUCUCCAUUGAGGAGAAGAUACGCGAACAAGAAGAAGUCUUGCGUGUCGAACGUGAGCUGCUGCAGCUGGAGCAGGAAGAGCUGAAGCGUCAACGCGAAAAUUUAAUGCUGCGCGAAAAUAUGGCACGUCGCGAACUGCAACACGGCGCUAAAAUGCUUAUGUCCGCCAACCGACGCUCACUUCAGGAUCUUAAUGGUGUGGGCAUGUCUUUAGCUGGCGGAGUGCCGCUGCCGAAUGGUGCCACAAAUCUUUCAUACCAAACGGCCGUGCCCCAAUAUGCGUUGGCGGCAGCGCAUGGCAUGCAACAACAAGCACAGCAAAAAUUCGUCGCACCCAUGCUUUCGGCACAACCAAAUCAGCAGAUUUACGCAAAUGUACCAAAUCUCGAGCAGCAAUACUACCAAGUGGAUGUCGACUACCGCAAGUCCAUGUCCGAUUUGCAGGAAUUCUCCAAAAGGCACAUGCUGCCACCCAUGCCGCCAACAAAACCAAUGCGCGCCAUGCACGUGACGACUUCUGGAAAUGCGCUGACGGCGCCCAAUGGCGCCGACGACUUUAUGGCACAGCGGCACACAUUGAACGCACAAGGCUACGGUGGCUCACUGGUGAAGAUAGCCGCGCCUACAGCAGCGCCGCGUGGUCAUACAAUAUACAACAAUAACAAUAGCAACAAUAAUCAGCAAUACCAACAUCAAUCCACGCAGAACCUGUGCACGGUCAGCGGUGGCAACAAUAACAUUAGUGUCGUAAACGCCGUGCCAACGGUGGCCAACGCGCAAGCGGCACUGCCGGGCAAUAUGUCACGCAAUACACUGCAUGCGCUUAGCGCGACACCAAAACCGAAGUACACCGACGGUUGGGUACAAGUGCAGCAACGUAAAUCUUACGAUACCAACUUAGCCAAUGAUCCUGCUUGGCUGUCGGCAUACCAGCAGAAGCGCAAGUCCAUGCCGGAGCCCUACCAUCACGCUGCCUACAACAACCACUGGCUCGUGCAGGAGGCCGAACAGCGGCGCAUUGCUGAGCAGCGUCGCGGCGUCAGCUCUUCGGGUACAACGCCGGUGCAUCAGCAAAAUGGCAUGAAGAGUGCAUCAGCAAAUGGCAAUAGCAAUGGCAAACCGCUGCCCGAUUCCAUCAUACAAACGCUAACUGAGCGUGUGCAGAGCAAGGGCAUUGGCGAGCGGAAGAGAUUUGACAACUACAAUAAUCCGAGCGCCGCUUUGGAUAAAAGUCCGUUACACGCGGCCUCCACUUACUACCAACAACACCAACAGCAAUUGACGCCGAAUCAUCAGCGGCAUCUUAGUGGCUCGGCGUUGGCUGCAAUGCCGCCGCCACAAACUAAUGUGAACGCAUUGACGCCGCAUCAACAACCACAGCCACAGCAGCAGCAGCAACAACAGCAGCAGCAGCAGGAUAAGGUGCUGAGCGUGAGCGGCAAGAAGAAGUGUUCACAUUGUGGCGACGAAUUAGACGCCAAUGGCUGCACAGAAACCUCUUGUCGUCAUGUGCAUAAGGCUUUGAAGUAUAUAGUUUGGGUGUAAAAUGUGGAAUAAAAAAGUACAUACACGCACACAAGCAAGAUAACAGCAACAACGACGCGGCGCUGCCAUGAUCAUUGAGUCGCUGCUGCUCUUCUAUCACAUCAAUUGCUUCAAAUGCUGCGUGUGUCACGUGCAACUCGGC
rnacentral:misc_RNA from 1 species